rnacentral:rRNA from 1 species
UGGGGAAUAUUGGACAAUGGGCGAAAGCCUGAUCCAGCAAUGCCGCGUGAGUGAUGAAGGCCUUAGGGUUGUAAAGCUCUUUUACCAGGGAUGAUAAUGACAGUACCUGGAGAAUAAGCUCCGGCUAACUCCGUGCCAGCAGCCGCGGUAAUACGGAGGGAGCUAGCGUUGUUCGGAAUUACUGGGCGUAAAGCGUACGUAGGCGGUGACUCAAGUCAGAGGUGAAAGCCUGGAGCUCAACUCCAGAACUGCCUUUGAAACUAGGUCGCUAGAAUCACGGAGAGGUGAGUGGAAUUCCGAGUGUAGAGGUGAAAUUCGUAGAUAUUCGGAAGAACACCAGUGGCGAAGGCGGCUCACUGGACGUGUAUUGACGCUGAGGUACGAAAGCGUGGGGAGCAAACAGGAUUAGAUACCCAUGUAGUCCCUGAGCGGGCUGGCAAGGCG